AGUAGCUUAGUGGUUAAAGCAUCGAGCUUAUACCUCGAGGAUCGAUGGUCCGACUCCUUCCUUGACCA
rnacentral:tRNA from 1 species